CACCCGCCAGCCAGAUCCCGGAAGCCGCCCUCUCCUUUCCGGCGGCGUUCUUGAUUGAACGGUCCCCACCCCAGCGCCCCUGAUUGGAUGGGGCUUCAGAUCCCGCCCCCUCAGGUCCUGAGUGACAGGCGAUUGCAAUCUCACGUGAGGCUGGAUGAGGCCAGAAUGACAGCUUUUGGCCCAGCGGUUUGUAGGCGGUGCGUCCUUCCUGCGCUGGGAUCUGACCAUGCAAGAAGGACAUUCACAUUUAACCUUGUAUACAAGGUUAUAGCUAUUUGUGCAUAAUAUAUAUAUAAAAUUGGAAGCAAUAUAAUGACAAUUCUGUAACUGCGCAGUGGGUUCACCUUGCACGCUACCUAGACAGAGCCGAUUUCUCAAGACAGGGGAAUAGCAAUAGAGAAAGAGUAAUUCACGCAGUGUCGGCUGUGCGGGAGACCGGAAUUUUUUUAUUUUAUUUUAUUUUUUUGAAACAGAAUCUUGCUCUGUCGCCCAGGCUGGAGUGCAGGCUCAGAGUUUUACGAUUAUUCAAAUCAGUCUCCUUGAGCAUUUGGGGUUAAGAGUAUUUAGAAAGCUUGUUUUGCCAAGGUUGGGGAUGCAUGUGCAUGACACAGCCUCAGGAUGUCCUGAUGACAUGUGCCCAAGGUGGUCAAAGCACAGCUUGCUUUUGUUGGAGAGAAAUGCUCCGUGCCGCAAAGUGAAACCAGCACUCAAGCGAAAGUUUUCUCAGCAACGCAAUUUACUUCCGCAGAAGCGUGCUGCUCGCAUCAAUUAAGAUUGCAAGAGCACACUGAACAAAGGAAAGCAGGGGUUUUUAUUUCUAACGCAGUCCCUGUCUCUGGCAUGGGCUGGGGUCAGACCGCACGAUCUAAACUGACCCGGUUGGCUAUUUGUGAAUAUUUUCCCAAAUACGGAAGGGGGAAGGGGGAUGUGAGUUACAAUGGUGGGACGUGCGGUUUCCAAGGGAGAAAUGGGUGCAGACCAGGUAACCAAGGGAACAGAUGUGAGUUAUUGAUUAGAACUGACGGGAAGGUUGUUUACAGUAACUAAGGGCAAGGAGGCAUGGAGAACAAGAAAGUUGAGUUCGAAAACAAAAAACAAGAACGUUAACAUGCCAAACCUUGGAAGAGAAACUGACUGCAUCUGACAGCUUUACACAUUUUAGGGAGACAGGAGACAUCAAUGGACGUAUGUGAGAUGAACACUGGUUUGAUCCGGGACAACCUGAAGCAAAAGCGGGUCAACUCGAAACCAGGAGGGGGCUUCCAGGUCACAGAAAUGGGGGUCUCCCUCGGUUGCCCAGGCUGGUCUCUGGUGCCCAAAGCCGGGUUCCCCGUAAUCUCUACAAGUAAUCCAGUGAAGGAACGCCAGAGCGUGGAAAGUGGAGGAUGACUGACAAAGGACGCCCGAGUACGUUUUCACUUCAAGCUCUCCGGGAGAGAAUCAGCUUCCUGUCUGGGUACCCACAAGACAUCUUAAGCAGUGCCAUGAGCCAGAGUCCAAGGAAGAGGAAAAGACCUCGCAAUGUCUCUGCACCCCCAGUUCGUCAGACAGAGCAGAUGAACAUCUCUGUUGAGCAGACGGAAACCAGUAAAACUCCCCAAGCAACUCCACUGACCUGGGGGCAGAUGAAGAGACUAGCUCACAUUGCAGAAGAGAACCCGAGGUCUCAGAACAAGCCGCUGACCACCAGUAACCUAAUGGUAGCUAUGAUGGCGGUAAUCUCCUUGGUGGUGAGUCUUCCUGUAGCGGAGGCAGAUCAAAAUUACACUUAUUCGGCCUACAUUCCAUUCCCACCACGGAUUAGGCCUGUUACAUGGUUAGACGCCCCAGUGGAGGUUUAUGUUAAUGACAGUGUCUGGAUGCCUGGACCAACAGACAACUGAGAUCCUACUCAUCCAGAGGAGGAAGGAAUGUUAAUGAAUGUUUCUAUUGGUUAUCGCUUUCCUGCCAUCUGCCUGGGGCCGGCAGCAGGAUUUUUAAAUUAUGAUACACAAAGUUGGAUGGUUUAUGUCCCUGCACAUAAUGGAUCAAAAGCCUUUAUUCAUGUAAUCAGUGGAAGAACAUGUCAAUCUUUGGACACUAUUAAAUGCCUUGAGCACGGCUAUGUUAUGACACAUCACUAGAUUAAUAAAUUUAAACCUAAUAAGAACCUCCUGUCAUUAAAUGGUCUGAAAAGCUAGAGGUGCUAACCUGCGAAGAUUGUAUUGCAAACAGUGCUGCUGUACUACAAAAUAAUUCCUAUGGAAUCAUCAUUGAUUGGGCCCCUAGGGGACACUUUGCAGUAAAUUGUACUGGACAGAGCGAAGAUUGUAGAGAGACUACUUUUGCAAACGACUACCCAGAUAACGCACCAAAAUUACAUAGAAGAAUGGAAACAAAUUACCCUAUUAAGUGGGAGGAGAACGGUAUGGCUCCUCCAAGCCCAGAAAUGAUUGAUCCAAUUAUAAGCCCAGAACAUCUAGAAUUAUGCAAAUUAAUGAUGGCUCAAACCCCAGUUUGGAGUUGGAAAGCAGAAUGUAAAACAGAGACCUAUAGUAAAAAACUUCAUUUGUUGUAGCCAUGACCUCUAAUCGGACGGUCCCAUUGCAGAGUUGUGUUAAACCUCCUUUUAUGUUGGCAGUGGGAAAAAUUAAUAUCCUACCUGACUCUCAAACCAUAUCAUGCCUCAACUGUCGUCUUUUUACCUGCAUUAAUUCUACCUUUAAUAAAGAUAAUAGCAUUUU